rnacentral:rRNA from 1 species
GUCUAAAGCCAUAUCACCCUAAACACACCCGAUCUCAUCUGAUCUCGGAAGCUAAGCAGUACUUUGAAGGGAGGAACACUCUGAAUCUCAUUCUUGGAAACCAACUUUACCUGGAUA